CUGCAGGCUGCAACUCGCCUGCACGAAGUCGGAAUUGCUAGUAAUCGUAGGUCAGCAUACUACGGUGAAUACGUUCCCGGGCCUUGUACACACCGCCCGUCAAACCAUGAGAGUUGGCAACACCCGAAGUCGGUAGUCUAACCGCAAGGAGGACGCCGCCGAAGGGUGGGGGUUGAUGAUUAGGGUUAAGUCGUAACAAGGUAAC
rnacentral:rRNA from 1 species